GGAAGAGACACUGAAGCUGGCUUAUGGGGAGAAUUCUGAUUUCAUCAAAGAUAAGAGGAUAGCAGCUAUACAAUCUCUAUCUGGAACUGGAGCAUGUCGAAUUUUUGCUGACUUUCAAAAGCGUUUCCGUCCUGAAUCCCAAAUCUAUAUACCAGUCCCUACAUGGGCCAACCACCAUAACAUCUGGAGAGAUGCACAAGUUCCUCAAAG
rnacentral:misc_RNA from 1 species